rnacentral:rRNA from 1 species
UAAGCGAGGAGGAGGCUACUUGGAUUAAUACUCUAGGAUAGUGGACGUUACUCGCAGAAUAAGCACCGGCUAACUCUGUGCCAGCAGCCGCGGUAAUACAGAGGGUGCGAGCGUUAAUCGGAUUUACUGGGCGUAAAGCGUGCGUAGGCGGCUUUUUAAGUCGGAUGUGAAAUCCCUGAGCUUAACUUAGGAAUUGCAUUCGAUACUGGGAAGCUAGAGUAUGGGAGAGGAUGGUAGAAUUCCAGGUGUAGCGGUGAAAUGCGUAGAGAUCUGGAGGAAUACCGAUGGCGAAGGCAGCCAUCUGGCCUAAUACUGACGCUGAGGUACGAAAGCAUGGGGAGCAAACAGGAUUAGAUACCCUGGUAGUCCAUGCCGUAAACGAUGUCUACUAGCCGUUGGGGCCUUUGAGGCUUUAGUGGCGCAGCUAACGCGAUAAGUAGACCGCCUGGGGAGUACGGUCGCAAGACUAAAACUCAAAUGAAUUGACGGGGGCCCGCACAAGCGGUGGAGCAUGUGGUUUAAUUCGAUGCAACGCGAAGAACCUUACCUGGUCUUGACAUAGUAAGAACUUUCCAGAGAUGGAUUGGUGCCUUCGGGAACUUACAUACAGGUGCUGCAUGGCUGUCGUCAGCUCGUGUCGUGAGAUGUUGGGUUAAGUCCCGCAACGAGCGCAACCCUUUUCCUUAUUUGCCAGCGGGUUAAGCCGGGAACUUUAAGGAUACUGCCAGUGACAAACUGGAGGAAGGCGGGGACGACGUCAAGUCAUCAUGGCCCUUACGACCAGGGCUACACACGUGCUACAAUGGUCGGUACAAAGGGUUGCUACCUAGCGAUAGGAUGCUAAUCUCAAAAAGCCGAUCGUAGUCCGGAUUGGAGUCUGCAACUCGACUCCAUGAAGUCGGAAUCGCUAGUAAUCGCGGAUCAGAAUGCCGCGGUGAAUACGUUCCCGGGCCUUGUACACACCGCCCGUCACACCAUGGGAAUUUGUUGCACCAGAAGUAGGUAGUCUAACCGCAAGGAGGACGCUACCACGGGUGG